rnacentral:rRNA from 1 species
GAGGAAGGUGGGGAUGACGUCAAAUCAGCACGGCCCUUACGUCCGGGGCUACACACGUGUUACAAUGGGGGGUACAGAAGGCAGCUACACGGCGACGUGAUGCUAAUCCCGAAAGCCUCUCUCAGUUCGGAUUGGAGUCUGCAACCCGACUCCAUGAAGCUGGAUUCGCUAGUAAUCGCGCAUCAGCCACGGCGCGGUGAAUACGUUCCCGGGCCUUGUACACACCGCCCGUCAAGCCAUGAAAGCCGGGGGUACCUGAAGUGCGUAACCGCAAGGAGCGCCCUAGGGUAAAACUGGUGAUUGGGGCUAAGUCGUAACAAGGUA